AUUGAACGCUGGCGGCAGGCCUAACACAUGCAAGUCGAACGGUAACAGGAAUCAGCUUGCUGAUUUGCUGACGAGUGGCGGACGGGUGAGUAAUGUCUGGGAAACUGCCUGAUGGAGGGGGAUAACUACUGGAAACGGUAGCUAAUACCGCAUAACGUCGCAAGACCAAAGAGGGGGACCUUCGGGCCUCUUGCCAUCGGAUGUGCCCAGAUGGGAUUAGCUAGUAGGUGGGGUAAAGGCUCACCUAGGCGACGAUCCCUAGCUGGUCUGAUAGGGUGACCAGCCACACUGGAACUGAGACACGGUCCAGACUCCUACGGGAGGCAGCAGUGGGGAAUAUUGCACAAUGGGCGCAAGCCUGAUGCAGCCAUGCCGCGUGUAUGAAGAAGGCCUUCGGGUUGUAAAGUACUUUCAGCGGGGAGGAAGGGAGUAAAGUUAAUACCUUUGCUCAUUGACGUUACCCGCAGAAGAAGCACCGGCUAACUCCGUG
rnacentral:rRNA from 1 species